rnacentral:lncRNA from 1 species
CAGACAUGAGAGUUGCUCAGGGUUCUCUCUUAAUUGAAGUCAUGAUGACUUCUUUUGACCCGUAAAAUUUUUAGAGGUAGAAGCUGUUGCCAUUAAUUUGAGGCCUUCUUUUCUGUAAUAGACCUGCAGUCUCACACCACAUGAUGAUAUUUCAGUUGAUGAUGGACCACAUAUACGAUGGUGGUUCUAUAAGAUGAGGACACUGAGAUUCUGAGAGGCCAAACAACUUGUCCAGGGUCACCCAGCAAACACAAGCAGAAAUAGAACCUGGAUUGAGGUUUGUCACAAGCCUGGAGUAGAGCAGAGUCCCCCUCCCCCACAGCACACUGCCAGGCAAAACCACAGGGCAUUGAGAGGAUUCUUCUGGCCUUUCCUCCCAGGACUUCCCAGUCUCCCUUUCCAGAUUGAGCAGGAUGGUCGUGGGGGCUGCUGGAGGGAUUUCUGUGUCCUGUCCUGGAGAACAUGGUCACAGAGGGGAGGCAGGGAGGGUCAGGCCCGCUCUCACUGUGCCGUCAGUCCUGCAGCAGAAAGUCAGUCUGAAGUUGGGCCAGUGCAUCUACAUGGAACAAAAGGCAAGUUGGAGGGACACCCUGCAAUGGUUCUUUAGGAUCUACAGAGGGGUGGCAAAUGCCCACAGCUGGGGCAGGUCGUACACACAAAUGAAGCUGUCCAGAUGUUAGCUGAGAUUGGUGGGAAAUAUGGGGACCAGGAAAACAUAGGCCUCCCCCAGGGAAUUUCAACUCAUCUUUAAUCCUGUGCAAACCAAACAAAACUGGACAGAGUCCCAGAGUCAUUGGUUUGUGAUCCUAUUAGAGGGACAAGGCCUGGGGAUCCACAUCACACCUGGCAGCAAGUGUCUGAAGAACUGCCACUUUGUCUUCUGUCCUACCUUCUUGGAUGUGCUGUCUAUCAGUUGCCUAACUUUGGGCUUUUGGAACCUGGCUCAUCUUCAUCUUCAUGUCAUGUCUUCAUCUUCAUCUGCAUGUCAACAACCACAUCACCGACUUUACAACCAACUUCCUGACCUUACAGACCCUCAGUCUUCACUUCUCAUGGCCCUAAACUCCAUUCAGGACUGGACCUUGAGAUGGGGUGAAAUGUAACUUGCAACUUGGAAACACAUGGCAGUUUGCUACCUCUGAACCUGUGUCAGUCACUGACUUUCUCCAUAGCCCUAAGCUGUAGGCUGACAGCCAAAGUAUUUUUGGAGGCUUAAACCCACCAGCUGAAAGAACAGACCCUCCUGCUGCCCCUUAGCAUCCCGUGGUCUGAGACAAGCCUGGACCCCUUCACAGCCUCCGCUGCCAGAGCUCUGCUGGGCUCUGCUGGGCUCCCUUGUUGGUGCACCCUAAGUCGUCUCCACGUUCUGGUUUGUCUCCAGUCCACCCACUGGGACUAGAGCCAUGCGCCGAAGUGCAGGUGGAAGCACUGACGCCCUGCCCAGUCCUGACCAGACCCCUUCUCAAGGGGUUAGCCUCUGCCCUAUUCUUCCAGCAAGGUGCCAGACAGAUCAAGUGGAACAAGAAUAUCAUUACCUUCCUAGUCCACCUGCCUUUACUGGAAACUUCUGCUCUUGCCCAAAUACUGGAACAGAUUUCCCCUUGGAAAAUGACCCUGGCUUGGAUCUUGCCCCUGUCUGCCACACCUAUUCCCAGCUUCCUCUUUCUCCUGGCUGAAGCCCCAAAACGCUGCCCUGCCAAGUCGCACAGCUCUGGUUCUGGGGCUGCUGAAUUUUCACCUGGGGACAAGGAAAAAUUGAAAAUCAGCAC